CGGGGGAGGCGGGAUCCUGGGCUGUGUCCCGGCUCCCUGUGCUCCGGAGCCUGCGCUGUUGGAUUCGCGCUCCCGGGCCGCGCAGCCCCCU
rfam:Canis lupus familiaris chromosome 8, whole genome shotgun sequence.